UACGAAGGGGGCUAGCGUUGCUCGGAAUGACUGGGCGUAAAGGGCGCGUAGGCGGAUUGUACAGUCAGGCGUGAAAUUCCCGGGCUCAACCUGGGGGCUGCGCUUGAGACGUGCGAUCUUGAGUGGGGAAGAGGGUCGUGGAAUUCCCAGUGUAGAGGUGAGAUUCGUAGAUAUUGGGAAGAACACCGGUGGCGAAGGCGGCGACCUGGUCCUUGACUGACGCUGAGGCGCGAAAGCGUGGGGAGCAAACAGG
rnacentral:rRNA from 1 species